rnacentral:rRNA from 1 species
CAAGGAUUCCCCUAGUAACGGCGAGUGAAGCGGGAAGAGCUCAAAUUUGAAAUCUGGCGGUCUACGGCCGUCCGAGUUGUAAUCUAGAGAGGUGUUUUCCGUGCCGGACCGUGUACAAGUCCCUUGGAACAGGGCGUCAUAGAGGGUGAGAAUCCCGUCCAUGACACGGACUACCGGUGCUCUGUGAUACACCUUCGAAGAGUCGAGUUGUUUGGGAAUGCAGCUCAAAAUGGGUGGUAAAUUCCAUCUAAAGCUAAAUACAGGCGAGAGACCGAUAGCGAACAAGUACCGUGAGGGAAAGAUGAAAAGAACUUUGGAAAGAGAGUUAAACAGUACGUGAAAUUGUUGAAAGGGAAACGCUUGAAGUCAGUCGCGUCUGUCAGGACUCAGCCUUGCUUCUGCAUGGUGCAUUUCCUGGUGGAUGGGCCAGCAUCGAUUUUGGUCGCCGGAAAAGGGCGGGAGGAAUGUGGCAGCUUGCUGUGUUAUAGCCUCCUGUCGUACACGGUGGUUGGGAUCGAGGACUGCAGCACGCCUUUGGUCGGGGUUCGCCCACGCCACGUGCUUAGGAUGCUGGCGUAAUGGCUUUAAGCGACCCGUCUUGAAACACGGACCAAGGAGUCUAACAUGCCUGCGAGUGUUUGGGCGUUAAACCCAGGCGCGUAAUGAAAGUGAAAAGUUGGGACUCUUUAGUGAGGCACCGACGCCCGAUCCUGACGUUCUCUGACGGAUUUGAGGUAGAGCAUGUAUGUUGGGACCCGAAAGAUGGUGAACUAUGCCUGAAUAGGGUGAAGCCAGAGGAAACUCUGGUGGAGGCUCGUAGCGAUUCUGACGUGCAAAUCGAUCGUCAAAUUUGGGUAUAGGGGCGAAAGACUAAUCGAACCAUCUAGUAGCUGGUUCCUGC